rnacentral:piRNA from 1 species
UAGUGAUACAGGUAUACCUUUGUCAGUGGU